rnacentral:tRNA from 1 species
GGCCAGUUAGCUCAGUUGGUUAGAGCGUGGUGCUGAUAACGCCAAGGUCGCGGGUUCAAUCCCUGUACUGGCCA